rnacentral:lncRNA from 1 species
AGAGCCGCUGGUGCUUCCCAGGCCGUCGCGCUCCUGGCCGCGCACCCAGCCAGGGACCCAGAGGCCCUCAGCCCCGGGCUCUGCGCGUACACUGAGGGCGCGGCGCAGCAGGACAGCAAGAUAAGGAAGCAGAGACUGAAGGGAGGAAUCCCCGCUUUCCGGGGAUGAUGGCGUUCGAGUUGGGUCUGUGAGGGAUGAAAUAGGAGUUGGCCAGAGGGAGAGAGGGACUCUAGGCCUCGAGAAGAGCACGUGCAGAGGUUCCGUGACACGAAAACGCCAGACGCCCAUGGCCUUUGCACAGGCCGAGCCUGAUGUUUGGAACAUCGUCGCCUCUAGGGGGCCUGGCUCCUAAUCAUGCAUCACCUCCUCCAGGAGAACUUUCCUGCCCCUACACUGAGUUCAAGCUUCUCAGACACCAGCCCCAGUUGAGUUCGAGUUAUAACCGUCACCAGUUAUCACACCAUCCUGUAAUCUGUGCGGUGCCCCUUAGGGCAGGACCUGGGUCCUAGAUGUCUCUGUACCUCUAGCCCCAAACCAGGCCUGACCUGUCUCUUGAAGGAGUAUUUGUGUUGAAGAUGGGUGGUAACGUUCAGCAAAAGCCAUGCCCAGGAGACAGGCACAGUACCCAUGGAGACCCAGGGCCAGCUGAUGACAGUGAUGAAUUCCCUUUAGAACUGGCGGACUCUUGGGUGCUUGGAGACACUAUAUAAAUAAGGAACUCUGGCUGUGUGCAUGGGAGAGUAUAUUAACAGGGCUUGGCCUGGCUGUGAGGUGCAGAGAUGCCGUUUCUCUCAGGCUGGGAACUUCAGGAAAGCCAGG